rnacentral:rRNA from 1 species
UACGAAGGGGGCUAGCGUUGCUCGGAAUUACUGGGCGUAAAGCGCACGUAGGCGGUCUUUUAAGUCGGGGGUGAAAUCCUGGAGCUCAACUCCAGAACUGCCUUCGAUACUGGAAGACUUGAGUCCGGGAGAGGUGAGUGGAACUGCGAGUGUAGAGGUGAAAUUCGUAGAUAUUCGCAAGAACACCGGUGGCGAAGGCGGGUCUCUGGGCAGUAACUGACGCUGAGGAGCGAAAGCGUGGGGAGCGAACAGG